CCUACGGGCUGCUGCAGUGGGGAAUAUUGGGCAAUGGGCGCAAGCCUGACCCAGCAACGCCGCGUGAAGGAAGAAGGCUUUCGGGUUGUAACCUUCUUUUCUGUGUGACGAAGAAAGUGACGGUACCUCAGGAAUAAGCCACGGCUAACUACGUGCCAGCAGCCGCGGUAAUACGUAGGUGGCAAGCGUUAGCCGGAUUUAUGGGGUGUAAAGGGCGUUUAGGAGGGAAAGCAAGUCAGAUGUGAAGACUCAGGGCUCAACCCUGAUCCUGCAUUUGAAACUGUUUUUCGUGAGUGCUGGAGAGGCAAUCGGAAUUCCGUGUGUAGCGGUGAAAUGCGUAGAUAUACGGAGGAACACCAGUGGCGAAGGCGGAUUGCUGGACAGUAACUGACGCUGAGGCGCGAAAGCGUGGGGAGCAAACAGGAUUAGAUACCCCUGUAGUC
rnacentral:rRNA from 1 species